CCUGCCAGAGGCACUGCAGGGUGUAGUCACUUUCAGCACUCCUGUCUGACAACUCCCAGGAGACUUUUCCUGCUUUAAUCUCUUCAAUGCCCAACUCAGAGAUAAAUCUUCCUAAAAUAACAUUCUCACCAUGUUGCUUUCCUGGUCAAGAACCUACAGGCUCUCCUCAUAGAUUACUGCAUCAAGAUCCCAAUACUCAGCUGGGCAUGAUGGCUCAUGCCUGUAAUCCUAGCACUGUGACAGGUCGAGGUGGGUGCAUAGCUUGAGCCCAGGGAGUUCAAGAACAGUCUGGGCAACAUGGCAAAACCCCAUCUCUACCAAAAAAAAAAAAAAAAGGAAAAUUGGCCAGGCAUGGUGGUGCAUGCCUGUAGUUCAGCUACUUGGAGGCUGAGGCAGGAGGAUCACUUGAGCCCAGGAGGUUGAGGUUGCAGUGAGCUGAAAUUGCACCACUACACUCCAGCCCAAGUGAUAGAGUGAAAGACUCUGUCAAACAAACAAACAAACAAACAAAAAACAAAAACACUCAAAUUCUGUACUUGAAAUUCACGGUUCUGGCAGAGAAACAACAAAAAAAG
rnacentral:lncRNA from 10 species